rnacentral:lncRNA from 1 species
CUAAGUGCUCUUUUUAGAUAAAUUAACUGAACUAUGAUGAUGCAUGAUAUUGUUUGCUAUCUUAUCUAAUUUUCAAAGUAUGUGCAUUAUUAUAUUACGUUAUGUUGAUUUGUUUUAUAUUCGUUGAAUCUGGUUGUUGUGUCGAGGUAAAUAUAAAUAACCCACUUAUAUUUCUGCCUUCGUCUCUAAAUCUAAAUCUGCUAGUGAACCGCUCCCUGUGAAUGAUGAGAAUUCCUUUUG